rnacentral:rRNA from 1 species
GAUGAACGCUGGCGGCGUGCCUAAUACAUGCAAGUCGAGCGAACAGACGAGGAGCUUGCUCCUCUGACGUUAGCGGCGGACGGGUGAGUAACACGUGGAUAACCUACCUAUAAGACUGGGAUAACUUCGGGAAACCGGAGCUAAUACCGGAUAAUAUAUUGAACCGCAUGGUUCAAUAGUGAAAGACGGUUUUGCUGUCACUUAUAGAUGGAUCCGCGCCGCAUUAGCUAGUUGGUAAGGUAACGGCUUACCAAGGCAACGAUGCGUAGCCGACCUGAGAGGGUGAUCGGCCACACUGGAACUGAGACACGGUCCCGACUCCUACGGGAGGCAGCAGUAGGGAAUCUUCCGCAAUGGGCGAAAGCUUGACGGAGCAACGCCGCGUGAGUGAUGAAGGUCUUCGGAUCGUAAAACUCUGUUAUUAGGGAAGAACAAAUGUGUAAGUAACUAUGCACGUCUUGACGGUACCCAAUCAGAAAGCCACGGCUAACUACGUG